rnacentral:lncRNA from 1 species
UUUUUUUUUUGUUUUUGUUUUUUUUUUUCUUUUUCAGCUACAUUUGUGGCAUGUGGAAGUUCCCAGGCAAGGGAUCAAAUCUCAGCCACAGCUACAAUCUAUACCACCGCUGUGGCAGUGCCAGUUCCAGCCACAGCUGGAACUCCUCUAUCAUACAUUUAAUUUUUUCUUAUAAGUUAUGAAUGGGGUAUAUAUCUACAUUGUAUAAAAUCUGAAAAAAUGUGAAAGAACAUAAAGUGAACAUUCGGUUUCCCCGUCAUUCCUAUUACCCAAAGAAGUCAUUAUCAUUAAGUUUUUUAUGUCCUUCCUGAGAUAGUUUAUAGAUUUACACACACACAUAAACACAUGCAGACACACAUAUUCAUAGUGUAUUAGUUUCUGCACUACACUUUUUAAAUUUCACAUACUGAGUUUCCUUUAACACACAGUUCCACAGCAGUCAUGAACUAAGUACGCUACCUCAUUCUUUUUAACAGCUGCAUAGUACACUACUUUUCACAGUUGUGCUAUCUUGUAUUAACCCAGUGCUCUAUUGGCAGACACUUGGGUUGUUUCCAGCUUUUGCCACUAAAACAACACUGUAAUAAUUCUCCUUGUACAUACAUCAUGAGACACAAAUGGAAAUGGAUUGGCAGGGUAAGUUCCUAAAAGCAGAAGUCCUGGUCCAAAAGUUUGUGCAUUUUAAAUUUGAUAGAAAUUGCCAAUCAUCUUCCAAGAGGGUGUGCAAUUUAUCUUUCCACCUGAAGAGUCUGUGGGCCUCCUGGAUGGCCCCGAUAAUCCUCAUUUGGUAUUCAUGUCCGAAAGUGUUCUCCUUCCGCAUUAAAUCAGUUUUUCAUGUACUUAAAAGUUUAUAGCUACUUCUCUGUGAACUACGUAUUUUCCCUAAAUACAGUGGACCCUCUGUAUCCACUGGGGAUUGGUUUCAGGAUCCCUAUGGAAACCAAAAUCCAUAAGCGCUCAAGCCUCUUAUAUAAAAUAGGGUAGUAUUUCCAUAUGACCUACACACAUCCUCCCGUGCACUGUAAAUCAUCUUUAAAUUAUUUAAUACAAUGUAAAUGCUAUGUAAAUAGUUACAAAAACAACAUAAAUGCUGUGUAAAUGGUUGUAAAUACAAUAUAAAUGCUAUACAAAUAGUUGCAGGUAGAUGGCAAACUCAAGUUUAAUUUUUUUUCCCCCUUUCCUCUUUUUGGCCAUGUUCACAGCAUGCAGAUGUUUCCAGGCCAGGGACUAAAGCCACACCACAUCAGUGACUAUGCCAGAUCCUUAACCUGCCAUACCACCAAGGCCUUUUGCUUUUUGGAAUUUUCUGGAAUUCUUUUUUCACAUUUUUUCCAUUUGCAGUUGGUUGCAGAACCCACAGACACAUGGGGUACAAACUGACUACACGUCAUUUUUCACAGAGGCAUAAUAUUCCACUCAAUGAGUUUAAUGUAACCAACCUAAUCAUUUGUUUAUUAUUAUUAGACACUGAAGUAAAUUUCCAUUAUUUUUGGUAUUCACAAUACUGGGAUAGGAGUUCCCACUGGGGAGCAAUGGGAUUGGCAGCAUCUCAAGAGCACUGGGACAUAGGUUAGAUCUCCGCCCAGCACGGUAGGUUAAAAGAUCUGGUGAUCCUUGGCUCAGGAACUCCAUGUGACUAGGGGCAGCCAAAACAAACAAACAAAUAAUAAUAAUAUUGGGAUAAAUAUCACAAAUCUGUGUCCAUACAGUUGAUUAUUUCCUGAAAAGAGGUUGUUAUAAAGGAACUUACUGGGCCGAAGUGCAUUUUCAGACAGUGUAAUAGAGCUGUCUUGCAAUCUGUCUAGUUUUUAAGCCUCCUUAUACAAAUUUGGAAACUCCUUCUCAUAACAGUACCUGCAGUAUCCAUCUCAUCCGCAUCCUUCACCAAAGCCAGUAUUUUAAAAAAGGGUUGCUGGAGUUCCCAUUGUGGCAUAGCAGGUUAAGGAUCUGGUGUUUUCUCUGAAGCAGCUCAUAUCACUUCUGAGACUCAGGUUCCAUCCCUGGCCCAGUGCAGCAGGUUAAGGAUCCAGCAUUACCACACCUAUGGCAUAGGUGGCAACUGCAGCUCAGAUUCAAUCCCUGGCCCAGGAACUUCCAUAUAGAAGUUUUGGUUCUACCAAAACAAACAAACAAACAAACAAACGUUGCUAAUCUCAAAGACAAAAAAUGCUCUCAACACUGCUUUUGAAAAGCAUCCUCUCUGAGAACACUAACUGAAGCUAUGGGGGCAUCAAGGCAUGAGUAGUCAGCAGGGGUGUUUCAGGGCCUCUGGCAUCAUCACAAAUUCCCAUUGUCACCUGAAUGGCACCUGACAUGAACCUACCUUGGACAAUAGCUUAAACAAAGGCAACUGUUAGGGUUGUGAGGACCACUGAAGCUGAGAUCCUACUGCUUAAAGCUUUGGCCACAAUGGAUGCCAGAUUUCUGGUGCAGCUCUGAUUACAUACAUUCUGGUCAUAAUCCCACAAGCUCACACAUGCUUGUCAGACCUUGUGUCCCCAGAUGGGGUGUGGAAAAUGUGGAAGCAAAUCUCAUCAUAUAUGCAUAUCCUUGGCUCACACUCCCCAAGUCCAGAAGAGCCAGGCCAGGCAUUUAGGAUAAUUAGGAUGUCCCUAAGAAUGAAGGUGGUUGGAGCCCAGGACCCUGUCAGCUAGCUAAGGGGCAAAGGCUCCCAAAGGGAAAGCCCAGGCCCCCACUGCUGUGAAUUUCCCCUUGGUGGAGGUUAAGAAUCCUCCAGGACUCAAGAGGUUCUUUGAGAAAACCUCACACCAAGAGAGAGGUCAUAUGGUAAUAGUUAGGCUACAGGCCUCCCUUCCUGCCCAGUGCCAGGCUGUCCCACUGAGCGCUCAGGAUCCUUCCCUCUUACCUGACAUGCCCCCCCCCAUCCUGCCCUGAACAUUUCCCCAGUCUCACAGCCAGCCCUUGACUUGUUGGCCCUGCUUCCAGCAUGUAACAGCCUCCAGUCUCCCUGCCUGCCUUUCUCACUUGAAAACGGUGGAUUGCAGGCCUUCCCCAGGACCUUGGGGUAGUAACAGAAGUAGGAAACUAACUGCCUGCUUUCCACACCUGAAGUUAAUUCGGACACUUUGGGCCAAGGCACCCAAGAAGUCCCCUAGCAAAGGCUCAGCUUUCCUGAGACACUGGCUGUAAGUCAGGCCCUUCCAGAUUCCCAUACAUGUGGUGACUUUAUUAUCCAGACGAACUCAUCUAACAAAGGACAUCUAACAAAGCAGGGUUCUCUCUGAUUGUACUACUUCGGAAAUUCUCCUAAAGGUAAAAAACUAUUUAGUGAGUAGUUUUCAGGUCAAGGAAAGAUAGGCUAUAAGGGAAAAAUUCUCAAAAGGUUAAUCUUUGUCUUUUUUUCUUUUGGGGAACUUCCUGAACUUUUAUACGAUAAGAAAAAUCAUCCAUGUUGGGAAGUUCCC